UUACGGCCAUAUCACGUGGAAACACCAGUUCCCCUACGAUCACAGAAGUAAAGCAACGUCGAUCCUAACCAGUACCUUGAUUGACGACCGCUUGGGAAUACAAGGUGUUGUAAG